AGAAAUAUGUUUGAACAAAAAGAGCUGCUAACUCUUCAAAAGCGGUUAAAUUCCGUUAUAUUUCUA
rnacentral:tRNA from 1 species